GAGAGGGAAACAGCCCAGAUCCCCGUUUAAGGCCCCUAAAUAAUUACUAAGUGACAAAGGAGGUAAUCGUACAUAGACAACCAGGAGGUUUGCCUAGAAGCAGCCACCCUUUAAAAAUUGCGUAAUAGCUUACUGGUCAAGUGCUUUUGCGCCGAAAAUGAAUGGGACUAAGUAAUUUGCCGAAAAUGUGAGAUAAUAUCGGUAGAAGAGCGUUCUGUUUUAGUUUGAAGCAAUAGUGUAAACAGUUGUGGACUAUUCAGAAGUGAGAAUGUCGGCUUAAGUAACGAAAACAUUGGUGGAAAUCCAAUGCCCCGAAAACCUAAGGAUUCCUUCGCAAGGUUCGUCCACGAAGGGUUAGUCAGGGCCUAAAAUGAGGUUUAACAACGUAAUUGAUGGAUAACGGGUUAAUAUUCCCGUACUGCAAUUUAUAUGAUUAAGAGUGACGAAGAAGGCUAUAUCAUCCAAGUUUUGGUUUUUGGUUUAAUCUUUCAAGAUUUUGAGAAAUGCUAAAAAAAGUAUUUUGAGUUGAGAAGAGAAUACGAGAUAUACUACGGUAUUGAAAGUGAUAAAUGCCAUGCUUCCUAGAAAAACUUUUUUAACUUCUGUAGAUUGUACCUGUACCUUAAACUGACACAGGUAGGUUGGUAGAGAAUACCAAGGGGCGCGAGAUAACUCUUUCUAAGGAACUCGGCAAAAUGACUCUGUAACUUCGGGAGAAAGAGUGCCACAUUUAUGUGGUCGCAGUUAACAGACCCAAGCGACUGUUUACCAAAAACACAGGUCUCCGCUAAGUUGUAAAACUAUGUAUGGGGGCUGACGCCUGCCCAGUGCCGGAAGGUUAAAGAAAUUGGUUAGCUCACGCGAAGCUGGUGACUGAAGCCCUGGUGAACGGCGGCCGUAACUAUAACGGUCCUAAGGUAGCGAAAUUCCUUGUCGGGUAAGUUCCGACCCGCACGAAAGGCGUAACGAUUUGGGUACUGUCUCAGAAAGAGACUCGGUGAAAUAGAAUUGACUGUGAAGAUGCGGUCUACUUGCACUUGGACAGAAAGACCCUAUGAAGCUUUACUGUAACUUGAAAUUGGUUUCGGGCUUUUCUUGCGCAGAAUAGGUGGGAGGCUAUGAUCCUCUUUUUCGGAAGUUGGUGAGCCGCAAUGUGAGAUACCACUCUAGAAAAGUUAGAAAUCUAAUGACAUUUUUUAAUCAAGAUGUUUGACACUUUCAGGCGGGCAGUUUUACUGGGGCGGUAGCCUCCUAAAAAGUAACGGAGGCGUACAAAGGUUUUCUCAGGCUGGACGGAAAUUAGUUGUAGAGUGUAAAGAUAUAAGAAAGCUUGACUGUGAGACCUACAAGUCAAACAGAGACUAAAGUCGGUCUUAGUGAUCCGACGGUGCUGUAUGGAAAGGCCGUCGCUCAACGGAUAAAAGUUACUCUAGGGAUAACAGGCUGAUCUCCCCCAAGAGUUCACAUCGACGGGGAGGUUUGGCACCUCGAUGUCGGCUCAUCGCAACCUGGGGCGGAAGUACGUUCCAAGGGUUGGGCUGUUCGCCCAUUAAAGCGGUACGUGAGCUGGGUUCAGAACGUCGAGAGACAGUUCGGUCCAUAUCCGGUGUGAGUGUUAGAGUAUUGAAAGGAGCUUUCCUUAGUACGAGAGGACCGGGAAGGACGCACCACUGAUGUACCAGUUUUUGUACCAACAGAAUACGCUGGGUAGUCACGUGUGGAGUGGAUAACUG
rnacentral:rRNA from 1 species